AGAGUUUGAUCCUGGCUCAGGAUGAACGCUGACAGAAUGCUUAACACAUGCAAGUCUUUGGCAAAUCUGUGCUUGCACAGCCUAGCCAAGGCGGACGGGUGAGUAACGCGUAAAGAACUUGCCCUGCAGACAGGGAUAACAGACGGAAACGACUGAUAAUACCUGAUACAAUUGCCAGCACGCAUGUGCCCGGCAAUGAAAAGUGAUGCUGCAGGAGAGCUUUGCGUCCUAUUAGCUUGUUGGUGAGGUAACGGCUCACCAAGGCGAUGAUAGGUAGCCGGCCUGAGAGGGUGAACGGCCACAAGGGGACUGAGAUACGGCCCUUACUCCUACGGGAGGCAGCAGUGGGGAAUAUUGGACAAUGGGGGCAACCCUGAUCCAGCAAUUCUGUGUGCACGAAGAAGGUUUUCGGAUUGUAAAGUGCUUUCAGCAGGGAAGAAGAAAGUGACGGUACCUGCAGAAGAAGCGACGGCUAAAUACGUGCCAGCAGCCGCGGUAAUACGUAUGUCGCAAGCGUUAUCCGGAAUUAUUGGGCAUAAAGGGCAUCUAGGCGGCCGGGUAAGUCCGGGGUGAAAACUGCUGGCUCAACCAGCAGCCUGCCUUGGAAACUACCCGGCUUGAGUGCUGGAGAGGUGGACGGAACUGCACGAGUAGAGGUGAAAUUCGUAGAUAUGUGCAGGAAUGCCGAUGAUGAAGAUAGUUCACUGGACGGUAACUGACGCUGAAGUGCGAAAGCUGGGGGAGCGAACAGGAUUAGAUACCCUGGUAGUCCCAGCCGUAAACGAUGAUUACUGGGUGUGGGCAUGAAGAGUGUCCGUGCCGAAGCUAAUGCGAUAAGUAAUCCGCCUGGGGAGUACGGCCGCAAGGCUGAAACUCAAAGGAAUUGACGGGGACCCGCACAAGCGGUGGAGCAUGU
rnacentral:rRNA from 1 species